rnacentral:misc_RNA from 1 species
AAGUCGUAACAAGGUUUCCGUAGGUGAACCUGCGGAAGGAUCAUUAACACGUAUCCACGUAUCAACCAAUGAGAACUCGUUUUCCCGUCUCCCUUUGCAAAGAAUGAAUUGGAACCAGUUUGAGGGAGUGAUGGGACCGUAAGGUCGGCCUUCCUGGUAUACUUAUGUGGAUAGAAAUAUCUGCAUAGACAAUUGGAUUUUUGCAGAGGCUAUUUCUUAUCGCUUUGGUCUCCAUCAUGAUCGUGGCGAUAGGGAAGCUUUCACUAUAUUUACCUUUUUUGCUAGUUGACUUUUUAUAUAUGUUGUCUUGCGAAAGCAUGGUGACACACGUUUAUUAAUUGAACGUUAAAAAAUACAACUCUUAGCAAUGGAUAUCUCGGUUCUC